UACGUAGGGUGCAAGCGUUAAUCGGAAUUACUGGGCGUAAAGCGUGCGCAGGCGGUUAUGCAAGACAGAUGUGAAAUCCCCGGGCUCAACCUGGGAACUGCAUUUGUGACUGCAUGGCUAGAGUGCGGCAGAGGGGGAUGGAAUUCCGCGUGUAGCAGUGGAAUGCGUAGAUAUGCGGAGGAACACCGAUGGCGAAGGCAAUCCCCUGGGCCUGCACUGACGCUCAUGCACGAAAGCGUGGGGAGCAAACAGG
rnacentral:rRNA from 1 species